rnacentral:sRNA from 1 species
UUAAUUUAUAAUUCAUAAUUAAAAUUAUUUGGUAUAUUUUAUUAUUCCAUCCUUGCGCUACGAGCAUAUUACAUACUUAUAAAUUAGGGCGCUAGACACAACAAGUGAAUUAGUUUUAUUUAAAUUUAAGAAUGGAAUUUACUAACAUUAAGAAGUGAUUAAAAUUACAAUUAAAAUUUGUAUACUAAUAUUUUUUAAUGUAAUUUUUGUAAUGUAGUUUCUAGAGGUCUCGCUCUCUUUUUCAUUCAUCUUUACUAUUUUUAAAUAUAAAGGUCAACUUGAAUUGCAUGGCACCACUGCUUGCCUUGACGUUAGGAAGUGGUUUCCAAGUGCGAAGUGCAUAUACAAAAAAACUCGUGUCUCAUUGUGCAGGAGUCUUGUAUGCAUUUAAAAAUAUUUCUGGUCUUUCCCGUGUGCUCAUGAUGGCUGAACGCCAGAGCCGAAGACCCUGAAAACCCAGUUGAAAGUUAAUUGAUUAGCGAUGGGUCCAGCUCCCAAUAUAAAUCGUAAUUGUUUAUUCCUUCUGAGAGCAUAUUGGAUUAUAUAUUUUCCUGGAUAAGCGGCGCGAGAAUUUAACCUUCACUGCUGUGGCGAUUUUCUCUCUUUAAACCGACCUCGUAUUGCCUCCUGCAUCGGCUUUACCUCAUCGGCUUUGACCGGGCCGCUCGCCGUCGGUACCUCCUCCGCGGGUGAUUCCGCCAUAGCUCCUCGUCCUCUCGAGAGCUCCGAGUCGACAAUCUGAUAAUCGACGGCGCAAUCAGCAACCCCCCAUUGAUACGUCGCCCAAUGAAACGCUGAGCUUCGGCAUCGAGACGCAGGACUUAUGUGCCCUACGCUUUGCCACAAGGCGUGUCGUAUUCGAUUUCCUCCUCGCCAGACGGAGUUCUAUCAAAGUAUCCCAGCCAGACAGAAUCGUAUCCCAUCAGGACAGAACAAGUCAUCGUCAUCCUUCGACCUGGACAUCGACUACAAGGACUUUGACAAUGGCAAGGGCAAGGGUAGCGCCUCGCGGGCUACUAGACUCUAGAUAAAUUUUAAUGUUAUUAGGUUUAAGAUAGAUACAAAUGUUUUUCACGUGUUUAUUUAUUUAUACUCAGCUACGAUUUGAUGAAUACAACUAUUGAAAAAAUA